GUAGGGAAUCUUGCGCAAUGGGCGAAAGCCUGACGCAGCCAUGCCGCGUGAAUGAUGAAGGUCUUAGGAUUGUAAAAUUCUUUCACCGGGGACGAUAAUGACGGUACCCGGAGAAGAAGCCCCGGCUAACUUCGUGCCAGCAGCCGCGGUAAUACGAAGGGGGCUAGCGUUGCUCGGAAUUACUGGGCGUAAAGGGAGCGUAGGCGGAUAGUUUAGUCAGAGGUGAAAGCCCAGGGCUCAACCUUGGAAUUGCCUUUGAUACUGGCUAUCUUGAGUAUGGAAGAGGUAUGUGGAACUCCGAGUGUAGAGGUGAAAUUCGUAGAUAUUCGGAAGAACACCAGUGGCGAAGGCGACUCACUGGCCCAAUACUGACGCUGAGGCGCGAAAGCGUGGGGAGCAAACAGGAUUAGAUACCCGGGUAGUCC
rnacentral:rRNA from 1 species